rnacentral:lncRNA from 1 species
AUCCUCAAAAACAGGGACUUGACCAAAUGGCUGCAUCAAUAACACAUUGUUAAAACUCGAAAUCCUUGGGUGACAAGUAACCAAGACAAGCCCUAGGUGAGUAUCAAAACCUAACCAUAUAUAACAAAUUUUUGUAUAUGUAGAUGAUUCGGCACAAAGUCAAUCUAUAAUUAGGUGUGUAAUAUCUCAUCCUGAAAUUACUAAUCAUUCGAUUUUGCGAUAUCAUUCCUUACGUUGAGAGAGAGGAAAGGUUCGG